GAUGAACGCUGGCGGCGUGCCUAAUACAUGCAAGUCGAGCGAACAGACGAGGAGCUUGCUCCUCUGACGUUAGCGGCGGACGGGUGAGUAACACGUGGAUAACCUACCUAUAAGACUGGGAUAACUUCGGGAAACCGGAGCUAAUACCGGAUAAUAUAUUGAACCGCAUGGUUCAAUAGUGAAAGACGGUUUUGCUGUCACUUAUAGAUGGAUCCGCGCCGCAUUAGCUAGUUGGUAAGGUAACGGCUUACCAAGGCGACGAUGCGUAGCCGACCUGUGAGGGUGAUCGGCCACACUGGAACUGAGACGCGGUCCAGACGCCUGCGGGAGGCAGCAGUAGUGAAUCUUCCGCAAUGGGCGAAAGCCUGACGGAGCAACGCCGCGUGAGUGAUGAAGGUCUUCGGAUCGUAAAACUCUGUUAUUAGGGAAGAACAAAUGUGUAAGUAACUAUGCACGUCUUGACGGUACCUAAUCAGAAAGCCACGGCUAACUACGUG
rnacentral:rRNA from 1 species